rnacentral:rRNA from 1 species
GGAGUCUGGACCGUGUCUCAGUUCCAAUGUGGGGGACCUUCCUCUCAGAACCCCUAACCAUCGUCGGCACGGUGGGCCGUUACCCCGCCGUCUACCUAAUGGUACGCGAGCCAAUCCGUAUGCAAUCAAUCUUUCAAUAAGUCCCCAUGCGAGAACCUAUGUUACGGGGUAUUACGCGACGUUUCCAUCGACUAUCCCCCACAUACGGGCAUGUUGCUCACGCGUUACUCACCCUUUCGCCGGUCGCCGCCAGGUAUUGCUACCCGCGAUGCCCCUCGACUUGCAUGUGUUAAGCCUGCCGCUAGCGUUCAUC